UACGGAGGGUGCAAGCGUUAUCCGGAUUUACUGGGCUUAAAGGGUGCGCAGGCGGAUAUGUAAGUCAGUGGUGAAAUCUCUAGGCUUAACCUGGAAAUUGCCGUUGAUACUAUAUAUCUUGAAUGUUGUGGAGGUAAGCAGAAUAUGUCAUGUAGCGGUGAAAUGCUUAGAUAUGACAUAGAAUACCUAUUGCGAAGGCAGCUUACUACGCAGAUAUUGACGCUGAGGCACGAAAGCGUGGGGAUCAAACAGG
rnacentral:rRNA from 1 species